rnacentral:rRNA from 1 species
AGUGAACGCUGGCGGUAGGCCUAACACAUGCAAGUCGAACGGCAGCACAGUAAGAGCUUGCUCUUACGGGUGGCGAGUGGCGGACGGGUGAGGAAUACAUCGGAAUCUACUUUUUCGUGGGGGAUAACGUAGGGAAACUUACGCUAAAACCGCAUACGACCUACGGGUGAAAGCAGGGGAUCUUCGGACCUUGCGCGAUUGAAUGAGCCGAUGUCGGAUUAGCUAGUUGGCGGGGUAAAGGCCCACCAAGGCGCCGAUCCGUAGCUGGUCUGAGAGGAUGAUCAGCCACACUGGAACUGAGACACGGUCCAGACUCCUACGGGAGGCAGCAGUGGGGAAUAUUGGACAAUGGGCGCAAGCCUGAUCCAGCCAUACCGCGUGGGUGAAGAAGGCCUUCGGGUUGUAAAGCCCUUUUGUUGGGAAAGAAAAGCAGCAGGUUAAUACCCCGCUGUUCUGACGGUACCCAAAGAAUAAGCACCGGCUAACUUCGUG